CAACCACAUCAUCUUGAAAUACUGGUUCACAUAAGAUCACUGAAGUUAAGCACCAUCCAGCCUGGUCAGUACCUAUAUGGGUGACUGCUUGAGAAUACCAGGUGUUGUAAG